GCCUGAGGGGGUUGGGCUCCUUGGGGUGUGUGAUUUUUGGCAUCUGAACCAUGCAGGAAGUUUUCCACAGUUCAGGAACCCUCUCCAGACUUAGGCUCAGGUUGAAGAUGUACAGGAUCACCUGACAGAGCUGGUCUGCACAGUCCCUGAGCAAUCUGGAGCAGAUUCCAUUCCAACUUGCUGACUUCCUUGCCUUCGUCCUCUUGAGCUGACUUAAAUAUAUAUUUUAACCAAGAUGGUGCCUUGUCUCUACAUCACCCAGUUUUCUUCUAAAUUGGACUGCAAUCUUAAGAAUUGUAAAUGCUUCAAGAUAAGUGUACAUGUCUGAUUCUUUCGGUGGAAGUGUAGCUUUUGUUAGUUUAAGGUGGUUAAACUGGGUGGGUUUUGAAGUGUUUAAAAAAUAGCUGGCAAUAGUUCUAUUUAAUGUUUUUACUUAAUGUCACACCAUCACACCACAAUGUUAGGACAUCUACGGCUAGGCUUAGGGUGGCUUGUGUUCUAUUACUUCGUAUAACGUAAACACUGCCCCCUACUGGUUAGCUUUAUUUAUACAACAUUAAGGCUAGCCCGAGGUAAUUCUCCCUGAUGCGACUUCGUUUUUAAGAGAACCCUUUAAAGAAGAGCAUCUAUGACUGCACAAAACUUUGAACCCUGAAGCAGAUGGGCUACAGCAGCAGAAGAAUAAGGUAAGAAUAGCAAACUAAUGUUUCUGAGGCUGGUUUAAUGGUGUAGGAAAUGUUUUCUUGGCACAAUUUAGGCCCCUUAGUUCAACCCAUUUAUUGUUCUGGACCAUGUCCAUCCUUUUAUGAUAACAGUGUGCCCAUCUUGUGAUGGCAACUUCCUGCAGGAUAAGACAUCAUGUCACCAAGCUCAUAUCAUGUCAUACUGGUUUCUUGUAUGAGUUCACUGAACUCAAAUGACCUCCAGUGACCAGAUGUCAAUCCUCUUGAGCAUCUUUGGGAUGUGGUAUAUUCCUAUCAUGGAUGUGCAGUUGACGAAUCUGCAGCACCUGUGUGAUGGUAUCAUGUCAAUAUGGGCCAAAAUCCCAGAGGAAUGUUUCAAAUACUUUGUUGUAUUUUGUACUUUGUAUAUAGAAAUGCAUAGAUGACUCAUAAACCCUCAAACGUUACACAUUUAUUCAUUUCAUUGCCAGCAUUUAGGACUGCUAGUGGCAGUGGGGGCUGCAAACACAUGUAUUAAAAUUAAUUUGCUUGAUCAGUCCCAUACAACUGUAUGUGCAAUCUGAACUAAAGGUAUUAACUCAGGUCCACUUGAGGUAAGGCUUGGGAAAGAAUAUGUUUUGGCACAUAAGAUGAUAAUCACACUAUAGUUAGAGUAAAACAAAUACAUAUAAAAAUAAAGUCUUAAACCUUUGCUCUGGUCAAAAGUCAAGUUGCAUGAGUGGCAACAAAAUGUCAGUGCAUUUUUAA